rnacentral:rRNA from 1 species
GAUGAACGCUAGCGGCAGGCCUAAUACAUGCAAGUCGAACGGUGUCUUCGGACAUAGUGGCGCACGGGUGCGUAACACGUAUGCAACCUACCUUACAUUGGGGGAUAGCCUUUCGAAAGGGAGAUUAAUACCGCAUAAGACAGUAGCUGGGCAUCCAGCAGCUGUUAAAGAUUUAUCGAUGUAAGCUGGGCAUGCGUCCAAUUAGCUAGUUGGUGAGGUAAUGGCUCACCAAGGCUAUGAUUGGUAGGGGAACUGAGAGGUCAAUCCCCCACACUGGCACUGAGAUACGGGCCAGACUCCUACGGGAGGCAGCAGUAGGGAAUAUUGGGCAAUGGACGCAAGUCUGACCCAGCCAUGCCGCGUGCAGGAUGAAGGCGUUAUGCGUUGUAAACUGCUUUAUACAGGAAGAAACGACUCUUGCGAGAGGCAUUGACGGUACUGUAUGAAUAAGCACCGGCUAACUCCGUGCCAG